rnacentral:rRNA from 1 species
GACGAACGCUGGCGGCGUGCUUAACACAUGCAAGUCGAACGGAAAGGCCCUGCUUUUGUGGGGUGCUCGAGUGGCGAACGGGUGAGUAACACGUGAGUAACCUGCCCUUGACUUUGGGAUAACUUCAGGAAACUGGGGCUAAUACCGGAUAGGAGCUCCUGCUGCAUGGUGGGGGUUGGAAAGUUUCGGCGGUUGGGGAUGGACUCGCGGCUUAUCGGCUUGUUGGUGGGGUAGUGGCUUACCAAGGCUUUGACGGGUAGCCGGCCUGAGAGGGUGACCGGCCACAUUGGGACUGAGAUACGGCGCAGACUCCUACGGGAGGCAGCAGUGGGGAAUAUUGCACAAUGGGCGGAAGCCUGAUGCAGCAACGCCGCGUGCGGGAUGACGGCCUUCGGGUUGUAAACCGCUUUCGCCUGUGACGAAGCGUGAGUGACGGUAAUGGGUAAAGAAGCACCGGCUAACUACGUG